rnacentral:rRNA from 1 species
UACGGAGGGUGCGAGCGUUGUCCGGAAUCACUGGGCGUAAAGGGCGCGUAGGCGGUCCGGUAAGCGCGCGGUGAAAGCCCGGGGCUCAACCCCGGGUCGGCCGUGCGGACUGCCGUGACUGGAGCGCUGUAGAGGCAGGCGGAAUUCCGGGUGUAGCGGUGGAAUGCGUAGAGAUCCGGAAGAACACCGGUGGCGAAGGCGGCCUGCUGGGCAGCAGCUGACGCUGAGGCGCGACAGCGUGGGGAGCAAACAGG